rnacentral:rRNA from 1 species
CCCUUAGAUGUUCUGGGCCGCACGCGUGCUACACUGAGUAAUUCAAUGGGUAAGGGAACGCUAGAGCAUUACCUAAUCUUGAAAUUUGCUCAUGAUGGGGAUCGACGGUUGCAAUUUUCCGUCGUGAACGAGGAAUACCUUGUAGGCGCAUGUCAUCAUCAUGCGCCGAAUACGUCCCUGCCCUUUGUACACACCGCCCGUCGCUCCUACCGAUUGAGUGAUCCGGUGAGGCUCUGGGACCUGGACGGAAAGAGCGUUUCGCUUGUUCUGUUUGGGAAACUUGGUCGAACCUUAUCAUUUAGAGGAAGGAGAAGUCGUAACA